rnacentral:rRNA from 1 species
CCUACGGGUGGCAGCAGUGGGGAAUAUUGGGCAAUGGGCGCAAGCCUGACCCAGCAACGCCGCGUGAAGGAAGAAGGCUUUCGGGUUGUAAACUUCUUUUCUGAGGGACGAAGAAAGUGACGGUACCUCAGGAAUAAGCCACUGCUAACUACGUGCCAGCAGCCGCGGUAAUACGUAGGUUGCAAUCGUUAUCCGGAUUUAUUGGGUGUAAAGGGCGUGUAGGCGGGACAGCAAGUCAGAUGUGAAAACUCAGGGCUCAACCCUGAGCCUGCAUUUGAAACUGUUUUUCUUGAGUGCUGGAGAGGCAAGCGGAAGUCGGGGUGUAGCGGUGAAAUGCGUAGAUAUAAGGAGGAAAACCAGUGGCGAAGGCGGAUUGCUGGACAGUAACUGACGCUGAGGCGCGAAAGCGUGGGGAGCAAACAGGAUUAGAUACCCGUGUAGUC